UGCACCCGUAGACGUUUCUACUCUUGAUGAGAAGGCUAGAUUUGAUUUUCUCGGAUCUAGCAUUACACAAGCUAGGAAGUACUUGGUGGAAACUGAGUUUUUCAGAAGGUGCGAGGAGUUUGAAAAAAAUGGCAAUGUGUCUGUUGGUGACAUUUUUGUCCAAUUUGCGAAGAACUACUUUGCCAGGGCAAUAGUGUCUUGUGCUCUUGUGGACAAUUUUUCUGGUGGAGACAUUCAAGGUAUUUUUCAUUUUUUAUGUUUUUCAGUUAGCUUAUUCACUAUGUUUUUGUUAAUUUAUCUGUUUUUAUACAGAUUUUGUUCUUGUUUUGUUUUGUUCAGUUAAAUGUAUUUCUGCUAGUGGGGAAUAUUUGUCCUUCACAUCCAAUGUUGCUCAAGUGUACCUGGACUCAUAUGUAGAUUUAGAGAUACACAAGGACAUAGUGUUGUUGUUGUUUGUAUCAAUUGAGUCAAAGGAUAGAGCAUAUGCUGUUUUAAAGUUAACUCCGUUUAAGAAAUGGGAAACUCUGGCAUUUUUUCAUCGGUUAGGUGUCUUUCGGAAAGCGUAUGUUCAUCGUAUUGUAUUUGCCAAGUUUGGGGAUGAAAUUAAUUCGCUUGCGGACCAUACGAAGGAUCUGUUCAAUUCAAAAACAGGUAGUAUUGGGCCGAAAUUUGCUGAUUUGGGUAAGGUGAAGGAAAUUUUCUCUAAGGUGACGCGAGUGAGAUGUUUUGGGUUUCCAGCCAUUGAAUACAAAGGUGUCCAGGUGUCAGGGCUCUUUCCUAGUUCCGACGAUGUUGCCAUCAAGGAACUGCUUUGUGGCAAUUGUGUUGCUGGGUGGGUUUGAUUCCUGACUUACAAGUUCAACGGGAUCUUUACUAUGUUAAUAGGGAAUUGGGUAUUGGUUUAAAUCAAUAUGCUAUGUUGAAUUAUGCCAUGCUUGUUAGGUUUUGUGGAGAUUGUAUAGAGUUUAGAUUAGUCACAAUAAAACAAAAGUUCAGAGUUUAGGUGCUUACUACACUUACACAAUCUCCACACAACCUGACAAGCAUGACUUGUUUCAACAGAGCAUACUGAUUUAAACCCAAUACUCAAUUCCUAUUAACAUAGUAAAGAUCCCGAGGAACUUGUAACUUAGGAAUCAAACCCACCCAGCAACGCGAUUGCCACAAAGCAGUUCCUUGAUGGGAACACCGUCGGAACCAGGAAAGAGCCUUGACACUCGGACACCUUUGUAUUCAAUGACUGGAAACCCAAAACAUCCCACUAGCCUCACCUUAGAGAAAAUUUCCUUCACCUUUCCCAAAUCAGCAGACUUCGGCCUAAUCCUACCUGUUUUAGAAUUGAACAGAUCCUUCAUAUGGUCAGCAAGCAAAUUAAUGUCAUCCUCAAACUUGGCAAAUACAAUACAAUGAACAUACGCUUUCCGAAAGACACCCAUCCGAUGAGAGAAGGCCAAAAUUCCGCAUUUCUUUAACAUAGGAGUUAACUUUAAAACAGCAUAUGCUCCAUCCUUUGACUCAAUUGAUACAAACAACACCUUGUCCUUGUGCAUCUCCAUACGAGUCCAGGUACUUUUGAGCAACAUUGGAUGUGAAAGACAAACAUUCUCCACUAGCAGAAAUACAUUUAACUGAACAAAAUCUCUAUAAAUUAACAAAAACGUGAAUAACCUAAAUGAAAAAUACCUUGAAUGUCUGCACCAGACGUUAAGAUCUUUGAAUUUAAAAAAAAAACACAUAAAUUUAAGGUUGGAUACAUUAAUAAGGAUUAAAAAAGGAUACCUUCUGAAAAACUCAGUUUCCACCAAGUACUUCCUAGCUUGUGUAAUGCUAGAUCUGAGAAAAUCAAAUCCAGCGUUCUUAGCAAGA